GGGCCCGCCAGCUGAGCCAGGGAGGCCGAAGGCUGAAGGUCCCGGGGAGAAACCAGGGCGGGGCCGCAUCUGUUGGCUGCUGCAAGUCGGGGCUUCUCCCUACCCAAGCCCACAAGUAUAGUAUGGGGAGUGCGGCCCCAUCAGUCUGCUGCGGUUGGUUUACGCGAGGGGGAUUAAGAGGAGCCCUAGCAGCUAAUCCCGGGCUUUUAUCCCAACCAUGCCCGGGGUGGUCCUUCCUAAUGUUACCUGCAAUACUUUUGUGCUUCCCGGGAUGCGGGACCAUUACUUCUCCUUAUGAACGCGGGAGAACAAAUUCAUAAAGGAUCCCCUCUUCCCUUCUCGCCACCAUCAUUAAUCUCCGACACUUUUGUGGCUCAGGGCAAGGCAUUUCACCUCUUUGCCUCAGUUUCCUCAGCUGUAAAAUGGGGGUAAAACCGGACCUACCUCCUAAAGUGGUUGUGAGAAUCAAGUGAGACAAUAAUUGUAAAGCUAAUAGCACAAUGACUGACCCAUAGUAAGUGCUAUGAGAGUCUCCUGAAUUCCAGAGGUUCAAAGGACUUUCUCAUUGGCAUCCCAGCAUCAUUUCUGAAUCUGAUGGCAAUUUCUGGAUCCAGGGCCAAAGACAGAUUGGAUGUGGUUUCAUGACCCUUCAGAAGGCCAGCAGAAAAGAUACCUGAUAUUUGGAGAUAUCAUCAUAUCGCUAGUGAAAGGAUUCCUAGGAGGUGUGAGUUACUCUAUCACAGGUGUUCUAAGCUUGAGCCUACUUUCUACUAGGCUGUCUUUAUACUCAUAGAACAAUGUAUCAUAUUUUUUUUUGUACAGCAAAAUAACUAUGGACAUGUAUACAUAUAUUGUAUUUAACAUAUAUAACAUAUAUUGGUCAACCUGCCAUCUGGGGGAGGGGGUGGGAGGAAGGAGGGGAAAAAUUGUAACAAAAGGUUUUGCAUUUGGCAAUGCUAAAAAAUUACCCAUGCAUAUAUCUUGUUAAUAAAAAGCUAUAAUAAAAAUAGAAAGGUUUAAUUAAAAAAAAAAAAGAA